UGCGCAGGCGGGAACGUAAGUGCUUUGUGAAAGCCCAUGGCUCAACCAUGGAAGUGCUUGGCAAACUACGUUUCUUGAGGUCGGUAGAGGCUGUCGGAACUGUAGGUGUAGCGGUGAAAUGCGUAGAUAUCUACAGGAACACCAAAGACGAAGGUAGGCAGCUGGGCCGAUUCUGACGCUGAGGCACGAAAGCGUGGGUAGCGAACAGGAUUAGAUACCCUGGUAGUCC
rnacentral:rRNA from 1 species